CCAUAAAUGGACUUUUUUUUUUAAAAAAAGACACAUGGUGACAAUUUCCAGCCCCCAAAAACUUUUUAGUUCCUUGAGCUGGAGUUCCCAGCAGUCUCAGGGUGCAGAGAGAAGGGAGUAAUUGCAAUUUUCCCAAUUCCCUAAAGCCAGAGAUUUGAAAGAAUUGACAGAAUUGGACAUAAGCUUCCAGAUAGAGAGUCUGUCCUCUAUGUGGCAGAAGGUGUGCCCAGGUCCAUGGCCUGGAACCGCUGGACCCAGAGCCUGAGAGGUCAGGCUGAGUGUGAGACAGCCUUAUAGCUGUCUCACCCAUUUGGUCAGACCUGAGAGGUCAGGCCUUCCUAGGUGGUUGGAGAUCCACCCCAACUACCGGGUUGACAGGAAUGGUGCCGUGACUCGGAUUGGAACCGAAGCAAUGGGAGAAAACUGCAGCCCACCCCGGCAAUGCUUUAGUGGCUCAGGCACCUCAGGAUCCGUUUUUUCCUGGAGUCCUAACCUUGAUGGGGUUGGGUGGCGCCUAGGCGCCUGGGAAAACCCUGGAAUCUACAG